GACGAACGCUGGCGGCGUGCUUAACACAUGCAAGUCGAACGGAAAGGCCCUGCUUUUGUGGGGUGCUCGAGUGGCGAACGGGUGAGUAACACGUGAGUAACCUGCCCUUGACUUUGGGAUAACUUCAGGCAACUGGGGCUAAUACCGGCUAGGAGCUCCUGCUGCAUGGUGGGGGUUGGAAAGUUUCGGCGGUUGGGGAUGGACUCGCGGCUUAUCAGCUUGUUGGUGGGGUAGUGGCUUACCAAGGCUUUGACGGGUAGCCGGCCUGAGAGGGUGACCGGCCCCAUUGGGACUGAGAUACGGCACAGCCUCCUACGGGAGGCAGCAGUGGGGAAUAUUGCACAAUGGGCGGAAGCCUGAUGCAGCAACGCCGCGUGCGGGAUGACGGCCUUCCGGUUGUAAACCGCUUUCGCCUGUGACGAAGCGUGAGUGACGGUAAUGGGUAAAGAAGCACCGGCUAACUACGUG
rnacentral:rRNA from 1 species